rnacentral:lncRNA from 1 species
CAAAGACUCAGACACAACUGAGAGACUGAACUGAACUGAACUGAACUGAAUGCUUUACUAUGGGAGGGCACAGGAUGAUGUGGGAUAGUACAGAAAGAAAUCACAACCCACACUGGAAAGUGGGGGAUGGAAGAAUGGGCCAGAGAGAGAUGUUCCUUACAGAAAUGCCUUAUAGCAGAAGGGAACAUGAACAUGAAGUUUGGAAGAUGGAAGAGAACCCAAACUAUUAUUAUUCUUCCAGCAGUAAUGUACAGGCUCAGGGAAUCUGGAGGAAGCUCCCAGGAUUUCUCCUAUAUUUCAUCCCCUGUCAUACUGAAGGCAAGUGAAUCAUUGGCAGUGGGUAUCUACAAUUCCUGCAAAUCUGAUUUUCUGAAACCAAGCAACUGCUUUCCAUGAGUUCCAC